rnacentral:rRNA from 1 species
GACGAACGCUGGCGGCGUGCUUAACACAUGCAAGUCGAACGGAAAGGCCCUGCUUUUGUGGGGUGCUCGAGUGGCGAACGGGUGAGUAACACGUGAGUAACCUGCCCUUGACUUUGGGAUAACUUCAGGAAACUGGGGCUAAUACCGGAUAGGAGCUCCUGCUGCAUGGUGGGGGUUGGAAAGUUUCGGCGGUUGGGGAUGGACUCGCGGCUUAUCAGCUUGUUGGUGGGGUAGUGGCUUACCAAGGCUUUGACGGGUAGCCGGCCUGAGAGGGUGGCCGGCCACAUUGGGACUGCGAUACGGCCCAGACUCCUACGGGAGGCAGCAGUGGGGAGUAUUGCACAGUGGGCGGAAGCCUGAUGCAGCGACGCCGCGUGCGGGAUGACGGCCUUCGGGUUGUAAACCGAUUUCGCCUGUGACGAAGCGUGAGUGACGGUAAUGGGUAAAGAAGCACCGGCUAACUACGUG